AGAGUUUUCCGCACUGUGUAAACUUGCGGGAUUUCUGAAGACGCUCGAAUAUUGGCAAAGAGACAAAUUUUGGGAUAUCGUAUCAAGGUUUUUGAUACUAUGCCUAGAGAUGUUAGAGACUAGUGCGAUGGGUUUAGGGCAAGAUCUAGGUUUACUCCUGGUUUUAGAGGGUGUGAUGACUAAUUCGACUUACGUAUCCCGUUUCAGUUUCAUCCUGAUUCUGUACCGAUUUAAAGUCCGCGAUACGUUCUCGGCUUAUACGACUUGUAUGGUUGGAACCGAGCAUCUCUC
rnacentral:lncRNA from 1 species